GAACCACUUUUAUGCUGUGCUGGACCAACAUGCUCCCCGGCUCCAGAGCUUAUUCAGAAAGAAAGCUGUUUGCACAGGGAACGUGUCUGAUGUCCUGUCUCAGCUCUUCAGAAGCUAUAAUCUCCAGGAACAAGCUGAUAUCCAUGCCCAAAGUGCUGGUGUGCUUCAUGCCCUCUCUGCCUAUUUGUACGAAGACACCUCUACCUUCAUCAAAACAUGGGAUAUGAUGCAUUCUGAUAGACCAGAUAUUAGUGAAGUGCCACUUGGACUCCUCCUGAUCAGAGCCAAUUCCAGCGAUGCAACAUUCUUCUGCCCUGAGAAGACUGCAGUUUUGGUCGAGGGUAACAUGAUCAUUGUUUUCACCACCCUGGCUGAUGCAUUUCUAGUAAUAUUUGGACUGACUGACGUCCUGCACCUAAGCUACCCAAAAUGUUUGGCCAACAUUUUUGACUUUAUUCAGAAAGUUUUGAUGGGUCUGAAGGGUGGGAAGUUGAAGCCCAAAGUGCUGAGUCUUAAAAAUGAUCUUUUGGCAGCAGAAUAAUGUCCAGGAUUCCUACACAGCCCUCAAGUGCCUGUUAAAGCAAGUAAUUCAGUUUAUCAUGUUUCCAAGUCUGGAUAAGUUUUUUAUAAAAAGAGAGAAUAGAAUAAAGAAAUCUUUGCAGACUCUGUUUCAUACUUCAUUAUCUAAAAGCCACAUCCAAAGUAAAAGGGGUGAUUUUAUUAUUUUUAUUUAUUUUUUUCCCCCCAUCAUCACUUGUGUUUUAGUUGAUUUUGAUUGUGUUUUUAGUCAGAUAACUGUAAAUCUAUAGAGAAAAUGAAGGACAAUCUCAUUUCUGGCUUCUAGGUGGGAUCUUGAAUGUCACUUAAGGAACGUUCCUCCUGAACUACUCAUAACUGACAUAAGGCGCUAAGGAGGUUUAUAACACUUUGUUUAUGUCUCUAAAGAAGUAUUUUUCUAUUUAAAAUUUUAUUGCUUUGUUGUUGAGACUGUGAUUGCACUCUACAAAUGUGCAUUUUUCAUAACCACAGUACUGGCAUAUUAAAAAGGUUACCAAUUAUAUUUCAGUGUAUUAGCUGCACUAUACUAUUACUUUCAUUCGGUUUUCCCACCUAAUAAUGCAGGAUUUUCUUUUCCUUUUGUUUGUUUUUUUAAUAAAAAGGCCAUACUCAUGUGUUAAUCAAAUUUGAAUACUCUUAAAACAUGUUGUGAAAUUCUUUAUUUCUAAUAUUGUAACCUUGUGCCAAAAUUUCUGACAUUAUUCCCUAUAAAAUGUGGUGGAUUUAUGUCUUUGGGCUUUUUGUGUCAAAGUAACUCAAUAAAUCUGUAACUUGAAUUUAUAUUUUCUGUCUUAUGUUUUUACAAGUGUAAUUAUUUUGGGCACUUUUUUUUUUAAAAUCAAAUUCAAAACACAGUAGAUUUGGAUAUUACAAGCAUUUGUAUUUAAAAUUUUUGAGUUGUAUUAGCUUAAAAUGGUUAACAUUUUG